GGAAGGUGCUGCAGUUUGGAAACUAGUAUGCACAGCAGCAGAUACUGGAGACCCUGGAAACCCUGCAGAGGAUCAUCACAGAUUGACGGACGCCGGAGCCCUCCUGUCAGAGGACCCGUCACACCUCCUGUUGCACCCACAGUGACACUGUUUCAGUCAAGCAAGUUCAACAGCUACAGGAAAUAACCAGUAGUGCAAGUAAGGCGGUAUGGGCCGGUACGGCGUACCACUAAGACAUUAGUGGCUGGAACACUGUAGCACCGCCAUUACCUACAUGCCUGCAGGUAAUGACAUCACAUUCCCUGGCGCCAAGAGGAACCCAUGCUACCGGCCGCACAUCUAGACUUCAAACUCCAGCAGCUGCAGCACUCUUGCCUCGACUUCUGAAUACAUGAGCAGCUGGUGCUAUUGGCGGGGUCAGGCGGGGAGCACCCAGCAAGAAAAGUGACACUUCCGCCUCCUCAUACAGACUUUGCUAGUCAAAGACAAUUGCAGCAAGGAGUGGGAUAGGCAGAUGCCUGCAAAGGACCCACCUCACACCAUCCGCACUACAUGAACCGGAGAUCAACUAGAAACACCACCAAGAAACCCAAGUGACUUCUGACCCCAAAAUGAAGACAGAUGCUGGGAAUGGCUGACUGACUGACCUCCGGACUGAAAAUCCUCUUAUUGAAAAAAUGUAUGGAAAGCUAAUGAAGCUGCCAUUUUCACAGACACCUUAUUAUGUAAUAUGAACAUUUAUCAAAAGUGAAAGUGGUAGCUAGCGAACAUUGAUGCUGCUGCAGCAGACCCUACUGUAAUGUGGUUUAUUCAUGUUUGUAGAAUGCCAUAAUUUUACUGCCUUUCUAUACUUUCACCUGCACCUCCUAUGGCAAUCUCUUGCAAUCACCUGCACUUCCUCCUGCAAUCUCCUUCACUUCCUCCUGCAAUCUCAUGCACCUCCUCCUGCAAUCUCAUGCACCUCCUCUGGCAAUCUCCUGCACCUUCUCCUGCAAUCUCCUUCACCUCCUCCUGCAAUCUCCUGCACCUCCUCCUGCAAUCUCCUGCACCUCCUCCUGCAAUCUCCUGCACCUCCUCCUGCAAUCUCCUUCACUUCCUCCUGCAAUCUCAUGCACCUCCUCCUGCAAUCUCAUGCACCUCCUCUGGCAAUCUCCUGCACCUUCUCCUGCAAUCUCCUUCACCUCCUCCUGCAAUCUCCUGCACCUCCUCCUGCAAUCUCCUGCACCUCCUCCGGCAAUCUCCUG